rnacentral:lncRNA from 1 species
CGGCGGCGCGAGGCGAGGGCGUAGCUCAGUAGAUAGCGCCCCACCACAGAGACUGAGGUAGCAGUACCCUGAGACAGUCUAGCUUAGGGGUCUAGAAGAUAAGAAAAGGAAAAUGUAUCAAACUUGAUAACUCUGAUGUAAUAGCGAGAUUGUAAUUUGGAAGUAAAAAUGUAAACAGAAACUGUGAUGUAAAAAGUGGUUCUAAAAUGAAUGCUUGUAAUAGCAAGUAGAUUAUGUAUUUGAUACUUCCUUAUGCAAUCUGGAUUGAUAUCCGUUCCUUGUUGGAACAUUCGUUGAUUGUUUGGAUUGCGACGCCUUGGACGUACUGGGGAGACUCUGUCCGCGUACAAGGGAAUUCCCGGUCCGUUCGGCGGUCUGUCGGCGGCGCCGCGACCCGGUCCAAAUUGGCGGUUGGUCGCGGGGCGUGACACCUAAUGUGUCAUUCAAUUGAGCAUAUGUAUAUACAUUGUUGCAUGCAUUUUAGGAUA